UACGGAGGGUGCGAGCGUUAAUCGGAAUUACUGGGCGUAAAGCGCAUGCAGGUGGUUUGUUAAGUCAGAUGUGAAAGCCCGGGGCUCAACCUCGGAAGGUCAUUUGAAACUGGCAAACUAGAGUACUGUAGAGGGGGGUAGAAUUUCAGGUGUAGCGGUGAAAUGCGUAGAGAUCUGACGGAAUACCAGUGGCGAAGGCGGCCCCCUGGACAGAUACUGACACUCAGAUGCGAAAGCGUGGGGAGCAAAC
rnacentral:rRNA from 2 species